GAUGAACGCUGGCGGCGUGCCUAACACAUGCAAGUCGAGCGGAGUAAGAUUUAAGUUUACUUAAAUCUUGCUUAGCGGCGGACGGGUGAGUAACGCGUGGGCAACCUGCCCUUAAGAGGGGGAUAACACCGAGAAAUCGGUGCUAAUACCGCAUGAUGUCGUAGCUUUACAUGAAGCAACGAUUAAAGGAGAAAUCCGCUUAAGGAUGGGCCCGCGUCUGAUUAGCUAGUUGGUGAGGUAACGGCUCACCAAGGCGACGAUCAGUAGCCGACCUGAGAGGGUGAUCGGCCACACUGGAACUGAGACACGGUCCAGACUCCUACGGGAGGCAGCAGUGGGGAAUAUUGCACAAUGGGCGAAAGCCUGAUGCAGCAACGCCGCGUGGAGGAAGAAGGUCUUCGGAUUGUAAACUCCUGUCUUUGGGGACGAAAAAAAUGACGGUACCCAAGGAGGAAGCCACGGCUAACUACGUGCCAGCCGCCGCAGUAAGAC
rnacentral:rRNA from 1 species